GGCGGGAAUUUUAUAUAACUUAAUAGAAAGUAGUAAGACGUUUCAUAACAAUUUUCAAUGAUUUUUUCGCGAUUGAAUGUUAUAUUUUGUGCUAUUUUUCAAUAAAAUGUUAAGAAAAAUUAAUAUAUUUAUUAAUGCGUAAUAUUUCUAAAAUGACGCAAUAUGUAUGUACAACGUGAAGCUGCACAUUCACGGUGUAGAUGACGCCAUUGCUGCUUCGGUUUGUACCAACCAAAUAUGUCUCCCCGUUACAAAUUUUCAAGAAUUUCACGAGAUAAGACAGAGCAUCGAAUUAGAAUCAGUGUUAGUGGAUCGUUCUUUGUCUCCCAAAAUCGAGAUGUUCGUCGUUUGAAGGAUCAACAGCUACUACCUCUUUGUCUCCUGAGCAACUGUGAAAAAUGAAAAAACGUAAUCUGUGAGAAUGCGUGAAUACUAGACGUUUCGAAGAAUUUAUGCAUGUAUAAUAUACGUAUAUGUGUGUAUAUGUGUGAUACGAUUAUUACGAAUGUUUUGGUGCGUUGUUCCGAGCUCGACAAUCGUUUACAUCUGUGUUUUUUCUUUCUUUUUUUUGUCAUUUGCUUUCGCUUCGAAAAAGACAGAAGAGAAAAUAUAAAUUAGGGACUACUUUCCUUCCUUGCCACUAGUCUCAUCGUCAUCUUGGACGCAGUGACAAGUGUACACGGUGUUUCGUCGCUCCGCAUAAUUACAGAUUUUCAAGAAUUCCGGAGCUACAGUACAAAGCGUUGAAUAUUCCCAGUGUUUACUGGCAUUUACUGGAUUUAUUUCUUCGAUACAUUUAUUCGAUAGGUAUAUCUAUAUACAUGUUUGUAUACGCUACACUGUACGCAGUAUUUGGGAAGUACAGACAAUAGCACAUGUAAACAAUCAAAGAACGACCAAGAGGACGACUUAGUUCAUUUCUAAACACUUUUCGUUUGUAUCAGCAGCCGUCCAGACGUGUUCAGACUUGUUCCUGCUUCUUCAAUUUUGGUUCUUCUAAUUUCUCAUUUACAUUAUAUAUAAUAUUUUAUAAUCUUGAUUUAAUCAUUUACAGUUUAUCAAUCUUAUUUUCUAUUCUAUUAGAUUUCGAUAUAUAAUAUAGCAUUUAUAUGUUGAAUAUGCAAAUCAC